rnacentral:tRNA from 1 species
AAGAGUUAGUUUAAGUAAGAAUUAUUGACUGUUAAUCAAGAGGAAAAUGCUCUUAAA